GAAUUUAUGCUAGGUAUGAAGUACGGGUUCUGUGAUGGGGUUUGUGAACGAUAACUCUAGGUUGUUCCCUGCACCAGCCACCUCUCAUGACGUUCAGUGUCAUGAGAGCUUUGUGAAGGAAUGGGACUGACUUACCCAACUUGCCAGGCAGGAGCAGAAGAUUUGCACGUGGGAGAUAUGUCAGGCAGGCUCUCUACCCCUGUUAGUUAUACAUCAUUUAAAUUCCCUUCUUUGAAUCAUCGUGUUAGUUUGUCACAGCUAUUGACAGCUGCUAUCUGAUCAGUCUGCUAGUGCCAGUAGUAUCUUGGCAACAGCACAAAAAUAGCUUUCCCCCCUUGUGAGUAAGACCAGUCUGCACAGACAAAUUAGAAACGUGCUAAAGACAAAAUAAACUGAUAUUGUGGGCCAGAUUUUCAGCCUUACAACUGUGCUGCAGACAAUUAUUAUAUUGUCCAAAGCAGCCGAUGGAGGAUUCCUCCAGAACGGGAGAAAGCAGCUUCCAAGAUGCUAUAUUUUUCUCUGUAGCCUUUUUGUUAGGUACGGGUGUAAGAGGACGCCGUUCUGCAGGAGAGACCCACAGCCAGGAGGGUGAGUUUUUGGCUGGCUGCUCCCAGCCAGCUCCAGCUAGGAGAAAGCAGUGUCAGCCGAGCCUUGGCUGGCUUGGGAGUUUUUCAAGAAAAAGCUGGGAGAGCCCUAGCAGAGGCUCCCCGCCUCUCCUUUUGGGAGAUCUUCUAAGCUGAGGGGUUCGCGCUUGUCCCUGCCCAUGGUGCCCGACCUAUCUGAAGCGUCUGGGAAGCUUCACCCGUCCCUCUUGUGCUCCACGCGGGCAGGCAGGGCACGCAGCCCAGUAAGUCCAGACCCCGCGAUGGUCUCCUGCCCAGCUCCCUGCCCCUAAGGAGUCCCGCGCGUGGGGUGGGGUGCGUGGGGUGCCUACCCACAGAUUUGCCCGUGAUUCCCCGGCCACCGCAGCCCCUCGCCCCCUCCAGCUGGGUGAGCCCCACGUCUGCUGCGAUCGGGUGAUUCCUUCACCUCCACAAACCCCCAGUUGCGGCAAGUGGGAAUACCCUGAGGCACAGUCCCUGCCCAGGCUGGUGUGAGAGGUGUAGCGGGCACUCAGCUGUUGCGAUCUACAUCCCGGGGGCCGCAACUUUUGGAUUCACUUCUGUGGAAAAAAGGUGCAUUCUCUUGGGUGGACUUGCACAAAACCCUGGAAAAGACCUGGGCUUUCCUGCAUUCGGGCAACAAGGAGUGAAAAGAAGUGACUUCCAUUUGUAGGAGGUGUAUUAUGGACUUUGUCAGGUUACUUACAGACUGGCUUCAUUUAGGAUUUCUUAGUGCAGGUCUGGCAUUUGCCCAUUGCACUGUUGUGCUGGAGGUCUGGUAUCCCAUUUCUGAAAUGUCUAAGCUGUUUUCUUUUAGGACAGCAAAGUAUUAGAAUAGCCUGGGGGUUUUUUUGUUUUUCCCUUGUAUUAUGCCUUACAUGAAACUGGAUUAUUUCCAAAGGAAAAAGUUUGACGUUUUGUGGAAACAAUAUGUAAAUAGGAUUUGUUUGCAUGCAAGCUCCACACGCUGUAUAUGUGAACCAUAAACAUAUAUAUUUGCACCUCUGGAUCAGAAGAAACAGUGAUUUGAUCACCUGAGGCUGUUGAAGAACAGUACAAAUGACCUGCUUCAGGGUAUAAAUUCUGGAUAUAAAUCAAAAUUUCCCAAAGUGCAGGAAUAUUUUCUCUGCCAGAUUCAUUGUUACCUCCAGAUCAAAGAGCUGUUAAGAUGAAACAACUGGGAGAAAAGCUCGGGGCAUGCCUCCACAGAUCGGAAAUUUCACGGAGACAGAUCUGUUGCACACCUGGAGCCCCCCCCACUCUCCGUGAUGUACACGGCUCCUUGUAAGAGCACUGGGACGGCGCUGAGCGUGGGCUGCUAAAGCCUCCGAGACUUGAGGUACCUCAAGCACCACGCAGAGAUACAGAUUUACCGGGGGCUCUCUGGGGCCUUCCACGUGGCUUUUCUCCCUCCCUUACCCCCAGCCGGAGCAGCGCAUUCCGCAGCGCCACAUAGCCCAGCUGUGUGCGUGACCGCCUCUAGGUACAAGUGGAGCAGAUACAUUUCUCAGCACCGCUCCACAGAUACCUCCUCAGGACCUUCUUUUGCCAAGGCCUGCCUUGGAUAAGCUUGCUUCGUUGACGAAAUUUCCUCUGCUCUGGAAAGUUGCUACGACGUGCGCGUGAGCAAAGCCUCUUCGCGCCACGCGGGGUCUCGUCGGGGGUUUGGGGCGAAGGGAGCAGGCGCGGUGCGAGGGCAGACGCCGCGGUGUCCCGUGAAAGGGAGGCUGUUUCCUCAGGAGGAACGGGCAGUCGGUCUCGGAGCUGGCGUGAUCCACGAGACAAGAAGCUGUGCCGGAGUGGGAGCACAGAAAGCUCUCUGCUGAGCUGCAGUUCUGUGAACUCUCUGUAAUGGAUUUAGGUAUUGAUCUUGGAGUAUUUAUUCAUCCUCAGGUUUUCACUGAGCUGUCAGGUUUCAUCUGAAUUAACAAGUAAAAUUUCUGACUUGCUGUGCUGUGAUUUUUUCAUGUGUAAAUAUACAAUGCCAUGAUAAUA